rnacentral:rRNA from 1 species
UACGGGGGGGCAAGCGUUGUUCGGAAUUACUGGGCGUAAAGGGCUCGUAGGCGGCCAACUAAGUCGGACGUGAAAUCCCCAGGCUCAAACCUGGGAACUGCGUCCGAUACUGGGAUGGCUUGAAUUCGGGAGAGGGAUGCAGAAUUCCAGGUGUAGCGGUGAAAUGCGUAGAUAUCUGGAGGAAUACCGGUGGCGAAGGCGGCAUCCUGGACCGACAUUGACGCUGAGGAGCGAAAGCUAGGGGAGCAAACGGG